GAGGUGUGCUUUGCAGAAGCAAAAUAAUUAACGUAGUAUUUUUGGGUUAACUAUUUGGUCUAUUGUUAAUUAGUUCUAAAACUAUCUAAAGCUUAAUGAAUUUAUAACUUUGUUUUGAAAAUAUAGCAACUUAUUAUCUUAUACUUAAACACGUCUAUUAAAAUAUUUAUUUUGUAAACUAAAAUAAUAACUAUUUGAUUUUUUCUAAUUAUGUAAGUAUUUUUGGAUAUACUUAUUUAUUUUGCAUAUUAAUUUUCAAAAAAAAACAUACAUUUUUCUUAUAUAUUUUUUUUCAAAAUAUAUCAACUAAAAGAUCAGUAAAAUUAUGAAUUUCAAUUUUUUUUUUAUGAAAAGAUAGAUUCAUAUCUUAGAUAAAGAACUUAACUAAAUGCAAUGAAUAAAACUAAUCUGAUUUGGUCGAAUUAUUAUCAGAAAUAUUGUAAUUCCGUUUAGAGAGAUAUGUAAUUCAAUAUAUCUGAAAAUGAAUAACCGAAUCAAUCUAAAUUCUUAUAAAAAUAAAAAAUUAACUUUAUAAUAUUUU
rnacentral:lncRNA from 1 species